UACGGAGGGGGCUAGCGUUGUUCGGAUUCAUUGGGCGUAAAGGGUGCGUAGGUGGCGCGGUAAGUCGGGUGUGAAAUCUCGGAGCUUAACUCCGAAAUUGCAUUCGAUACUGCCGUGCUCGAGGACUGGAGAGGAGACUGGAAUUCAUGGUGUAGCAGUGAAAUGCGUAGAGAUCAUGAGGAAGACCAGUGGCGAAGGCGGGGUCUCUGGACAGUUCCUGACACUGAGGCACGAAGGCCAGGGGAGCAAACGGG
rnacentral:rRNA from 1 species